AGGCCCCUGCCCUCCUGCCUCCACCUCCCUCUCAUGUGAAUCCACUGCAGGGGAGGAGGGGGGGGGGGGGGCU
rnacentral:miRNA from 1 species